AUUCCUACAGCCCCAGAUGGGCCUGGAGGGGCUGUGCCACCUCUGCAGAGAUAGAAAGGCUGGUGUUGACGCCUGAGGAUUUUGCCCUUGGGUCCAGGUCAGAACAUCCCAGCACCACUCUUAGGCCAGGUCUGCCCUGCAGUUUUGACCGCUGAAUUGGUCUUAAGAGUGGCCACGCACCCCCCUCCAAGUGAGGGGGCAAGACACAAGUAGGGGACGGGUCACUUUCUGUCACCCUGAAAAUACACUGGGCACAACACAAUGGGGGCUGAUGAAGUCAGGUCGGCCCCUCCGAGUCCACUUCAAAAUCACGGCCCGGCUCCCCCACACUUCCCACCACCUGACACCACCGAGCCCCUUGCUUCAGAUUUUCUGUGGUCUAUAUUCAUGCCUGCUUAGGCCCCCUACAAAAGUCCUCAUAAAACCAACGCCACCUUUAUCUGCCUCCAAAACACAUACUGCUUUCCCAUCGGGAAGAUCAGCAAUGUGGUUUCCUGCCUGGUUCUUAGUCAAAAAGUCAGUAUCUGGUGGUUUCCGGAAUUUUGCAGGACUGAGCGGCAGGGAACAGCUGCACACCAGGCAGGCUCUGCCGUCCACCUCCAGUCUCGGUUUCGCAGCCGUGUGUGAUGUCAAGGGAUGGAUGGAGUUAGGGUUUCCGUUGGUUUUGUUUUUGCCGAGGAAAGGAUGUGCGGGUCGAUAGCUAUUGUUUCCUUUCCAUUCCUGCGAUUCUCUUUACAUCUGUAUAUAUCUAUCACACCAUGCUGACUUUGUGAUGAGUCCUGUUCCUCAGAAAUGUCAAGCUGGGUUCCUUGUCAAAGAAACACACAGCUCCUGUUUCUCCACUUUUCAAAGAAACACACAGCUCCUAUUUCUCCACUUUUCAAAGAAACACACAGCUCAUAUUUCUCCACCUCAUUUUGUUUUCACAGGGAGCUUUUCUUAUCAACAAAGUCACAUGCUUUUUUUGAUAUAGUGUUUACCACAUCUGGAGAGCCAUAAACAGUAAAUACAGAGGAUAUCAAUGCCCAGAAUAGUUAGAGUAUUUUGAUGAAAUCCUAUUUUUAGAUGAUAAAUUUCAAGAUGUGUCUAUAGUAUAUUGUUUAAAACAAAGACAUUUGAGACGGACAUAAAGUAGACAUUUUUAAUUUAGGGAAACUUAUAUGCCCUUUUAUAAGAAGCCAUUCUAAUAAAAUAAUCUGACUACUUGGCCCAAAAUACAGUAAGUAUCAAUUUCUAAUAGAGACCAAAGGGAAGCUGAGAGCCUUUCUUUUUACGUACUGCUGUUGGAUCGCUGAGGCCGCCUCUUGUAACGCCCGACAGAACCCGGCGAGGCUCUGUGGGCUUCCCGCGGCCCUCAGGGAGGCUGCAGAGGCCCCUCGUCCACAUCAGGAGGCCGCCGUCCCACACCCCCCCAAAGCCUGUCCUCGCCUGCGGUUUUUGCAGAGCUCGCGGUUGGAGGUGGAAAUUUAGAAGCUCUGUGUUGCAGGCGAGGCCGUAGCACCCCCAGGCAGCUCUUAGCAGGGACAGACCAAUCCCAUCUCGCUGGUAUUUUAGGGUCUUUUGGUGUUUUGCCACCGUGUGGGGCUAGGCAGGCGGCUGCAGGACACGGCACGGGCCUCACCACUGCAUGAGCAGGGCUGCUUCUGGCAACGCUGGGCUGCUGGUGGCUCCUGUCAAACUUCUCCCAAAUUUUGAAUCUGAGAAAGUGAAGGAAGGAUGGUGGGGAAGUGAGGAAGCAGGAGCAGAGGCCACAGGGGACCAGAGAUGUGGUGAAGACAGAGGGAGCUUCGUUCUCAGGCCGUUUCAGGGAAGCCUGAGAGGCGGCUGGCACCACCUUCCACUCACUCUCCCCUCAGCCACUUCACUUCCCUUCUUGCCCCUUUCUCUCCUCCCUGCCUCUUCCCUUUCUUGCUGUCUUGUUAGUCCCUGUCCCAAAGCUCCUGGCUCCUUUGUUCUGCUGCCAUGGCCCCCACCCAGGAGGAGGUCGUCUUAGGCACCAUCCCCACCGAGGGAUCCACGCAGCAGGUUCAUGCUGGGGCUGGGGGAGCCCCGUUGGGUUCCUAUGUGGCAGGUUCAUGCUGGGGCUGGGGGAGCCUCGCUGGGUUCCUAGGCAGCAGGUUCAUGCUCAAGGCUAGGGAAGCCCUGCUGGGUUCCUGACGCCUUGUGCACAGGGAGUCACUGUAGCCAUUUUUGGACUCUCCUAAAUGUGUCCACGUGAUCUGACCUCCCACCAGAAGGAACACUAGUGGGCACAUCUCUAGACAUCUGUUUACUUUUUUGAGACCGGCUUAUGAGACUGGCUAAUUUUGUAUUUUUGGUAGAGAUGGGGUCUCGCCAUGUUGCCCAGGCUGGUCUCAAACUCCUGGCCUCAAGCGAUCUGCCCACCUUGGCCUCCCAGAGUGCUGGGAUUACAGGCAUGAGCCACCGUGCCGACCUCUAGAGAUGCGCACGAAACAAUAUCGCCCCUGCGGGAACCGUAGGCAGAUCGAACCCUGGUGAGAGGAACACUUUAUUUCCCAACUCAUCAUCCUAAAGCCGAGGCUGGAGGGAUGAGCAACCCCUAAACACCAAGGCAAGAUCACCUGGGUCCCAGGGCCUCUUUUCACACAGGCCCGAGAUUUCUAUCUCUCUGCAGUUUAUGCAUCGGUAAAAAAAAUCUCUCCCAGCGCACCCCGUUAGUUUUCAGCAUUUUGUAAGCAAAAUGAACUUAAUACAUAGUAAUUCUAAUUGAAGGUAUGUACAUAAUAAAAGCAUGAUUGAAUGGCAAUAUUGUAUCAAUGGAUGUACAUUUGUAAUAUUUGUAAAAAAAAAUCCAAAACCUUAAAAUAUGAAUUUACAUAUGUUAAUUUGCCUUUAAGUUCUGUAAAUUGCACUUCAGUGAUAUCUGAUAAGUGAAUGUUUCUGUUAAGUGAAUAAAAAUAUUAAGUAAAAUUGUU